AGCAGUCGCCACGGGAAUACGUAGGGCGCAAGCGUUGUCCGGAAUUAUUGGGCGUAAAGAGCUCGUAGGCGGUCUGUCGCGUCUGGUGUGAAAUCCCGAGGCUCAACCUCGGGCUUGCAUCGGGUACGGGCAGACUAGAGUGCGGUAGGGGAGACUGGAAUUCCUGGUGUAGCGGUGGAAUGCGCAGAUAUCAGGAGGAACACCGAUGGCGAAGGCAGGUCUCUGGGCCGCAACUGACGCUGAGGAGCGAAAGCAUGGGGAGCGAACAGGAUUAGAUACCCCGGUAGUCCCUGUCUCUUAUAC
rnacentral:rRNA from 1 species